AACGAUUCCAUCAUGUUAUAUGUUUUACUGUUGUGUGGCCAUGUGAUUUGUGCAGAUAUGCUGACAACGUUUGCAGUGUGGUUUGUUUCAGGGCAUGCAGGGUGUUGAACCAAUUAUCAUUAAUCAUGUUAUCUGCUGAUAUUUUUUCAUAGGAGCCCUUAAACAGGUGGACGCAGGGGGUAAUGUAUUCCUAGGAGGUGUGAACAACGCUGAUAACAUUUUUUGCCUAAGCCAGGAUCUCACUCUUUCCAAGGGGACAUCUCUCCCUUUCAUACUACUUGAUGGAAGAUUGAAGUAUUAUAGCUGUGGUCGUUAUAGUUGCUGGGGAGUGAACAGCAACAAUGAUAUAUUUUAUCGUCUGAACGUUAGUCCAAAUGAUUGCAAAGGCAGUGAAUGGAGACAGGUGGAUGGGAACAUGAUUAUGGUGGAAGUUGCCACAGAUGGAUCAGUGUAUGGAAUCAACACCAUUGGCAACGUAUACAAAAGGUAAAUCUUUUAGUAGCAAUAAUGAAAUAGGGAAUAUAUACAUUAAAUAUAAUUAUGUAUCAAUUAGUGAACUAAGUCCCCCAAUUACCUAUUGAUUAAUUCCAUUCAGGAGCUUAAAUGCAUAAAAAAAAUGUAACAUAUAUUAAAAAUAUCUGAAAUUAAUUUGCUUUUCAAGCAUAGAUUAAAAAACAAAAAAAAAUAUCAUCAAUGUAUAUUCAUAGCUAGAUACAAAUGUGUUCAUUGUAUUCUGGACAUGGCAGGAUUGGUUGUAGGUUUAGUGUGUAGUGUCACCUAAAAGGUAAUCCAGGCAUGAUGGAGUAGGAGUCUAGACAAAGAUAAUUAUAAUUAAUAAUUGUUCUUGUCUUUUUCCCACAGAGAAGGGAUUUCUUUUUCAAACCCAGGUGGAACUGAGUGGGCUCUGUUGAAUGUAUACGGUCCCUUUAAGCAUGUCUCAUAUGAUAACGGAGUGCUAUGGCUUCUUAAUUCAGAAGGAAGUAUCUUCAAAUGUGACAUCAACUAUUAUUCAUAAGCAUCAAUUAACACAUCGCCUUUCUAUUACUAUCACUGAAUCUGUAAUCCUCUACUGUCUACUAGAGAUAACAAGCAAAGUAAAUCCUCUGUGAGUCCAUCUUCAUUGUGAGCUUUUAAUAGCAGUGAUGAGAUAUUUGUCUGCUUUGGUGUGUGCGGGUUCUCAAAUAAAACUAUUGUAGAACUUUUAAAAUGUCUAUGAUUUUCAAAUAAUCAGUAGAACAUUGCUAUCAAUAAAUGUAUAAAAUCAGCAUCAAUAAAAUGUAUG